UACAGAGGUCUCAAGCGUUGUUCGGAUUCAUUGGGCGUAAAGGGUGCGUAGGUGGCGGGGUAAGUCAGGUGUGAAAUCUCGGGGCUCAGCCCCGAAACUGAACUUGAUACUGCCUUGCUCGAGUACUGGAGAGGAGAUUGGAAUUUACGGUGUAGCAGUGAAAUGCGUAGAUAUCGUAAGGAAGACCAGUGGCGAAGGCGAAUCUCUGGACAGUUACUGACACUGAGGCACGAAGGCCAGGGGAGCAAACAGG
rnacentral:rRNA from 1 species